rnacentral:rRNA from 1 species
AUUAAAAUUCUUAAUAAUAAAAUUAUUUAAUUAAAAUUAUUUUAAAUAUUUAAUCCUUUCGUACUAAAAUAUUUUAUUUUUCUAAAGAUAGAAACCAACCUGGCUCACGCCGGUUUGAACUCAGAUCAUGUAAGAUUUUAAUGAUUGAACAGAUCAAAAAUUUUAAACUUUUGCAUUUAAAUUUUAUCUUAAUCCAACAUCGAGGUCGCAAACUUUAUUUUUUAUUUGAACUAAAAAAUAAUAUUACGCUGUUAUCCCUAAGGUAAUUUUAUCUUUUAAUCAUUAUUUAUGGAUCAAAAAAUCAUUUAUUAAUGUUUAUAAUUUAAAAAAAGUUAAUUAAAUUUUUCUAUCACCCCAAUAUAAUAUUUUAUUUAUUUUUUAUAUUAAUUUAUAUAUUUAAUUAAAAAUAAAUUAAAUAUAAAACUCUAUAGGGUCUUCUCGUCUUUUAAAUCUAUUUUUGCUUUUUUACUAAAAAAUAAAAUUCUAUUAAUAAUUUAGAGACAGUUAUUAUUUCAUUAAAUCUUUCAUACAAGUUUUCAAUUAAAAAACUAAUGAUUAUGCUACCUUUGUACAGUCAAUAUACUGCAGCCCUUUAAUAUUUAUCAGUGGGCAGAUUAGACUUUAAAUUAUUUUCAAAAAGACAUGUUUUUGAUAAACAAGUGAAUAAUUAAUUUUGCCGAAUUCCUUUUAAUUAAUUUAUUACUUAUUUACAUUAUUUAAAUUAUAAUUAUACUAAUUUUAUCAUUAUUUUUAAUUUUAUUUUAUUAAAAAUUAUUAUUUUAUAUAAAAUUAAAUUUUUCUAAUUAAAUUUUUUUAUUUAACAAAAUUUUUUAUAAUAAAUUUUAAUUUAUAAACAAUUUAAAUUUUAAAAAUUUUAUUUUUAUUUUUUUAAAUUAUAAAUUUUUAAUUUAAAGCUUAUCCCCCAAAAUAUAAAAUUUAAUUUUUUUUUUAUAAUUUUAAUUUAAUUAAUUAUAAAAUAAUUUAAAUUUAAAAUUAAAUUUUUUUCUAAAAUAACUAGAUAUUUUUUAAAACGAUUAACAUUUCAUUUCUAAUUAAUUAUUAAAAAUAAUUAUACUACAUUAAUUUUUAUAAUUAAUUAGUUCUUUAAAAUUCGAGAUUUUUUUACAUAAAAAUUUUAUUUAAUAAACUCUGAUACACAAGAUACAAUAAACUAAAUUUUCUUUUUAUUAAUUUAUUUUUUAAUAUUAUUUCAAAUUUCUUCUACAAUACAUAAUUUUCUAUAAAUUUUUUUAUUAUUUUAAUUAAAAAUACUUUAACCCCCAUUAUCAUAUUUUUAAUUUAAAAUUUUUUUUAUUAUUUAUACUUUAUUAAUUUCCCCCCU